UUAGUUGAUAUCUUCGCCACUGCUAACUCAGCAUUGGUAAGCUAAGAUUUUGUUCCAAAGUCUCCUUGUCAUUGGCUAAGACAUCCUUCUCUAGUUGAAGGCUUUCAAACUGCUAUUUCUAGUUAUCCGCCUCCGUGCCUAACUCCGCAACUUACAGUUCAGUCCAAGUUAACCUUCUCAUUAGCUCCAUACUAGUUAAGUUAAUCUACAAAAAGGAAAAAACAAAGAUGUUACAAACCAAAGGAAGGAAGAUAGAAAAGGAUUAAGGGUAGAAAAAUUCACCUUGAGAGUGGAAUGAAUUAAAUCAUUCAUAAGAGUAAUGGAGAAUUAAGAAUCAA
rnacentral:lncRNA from 1 species